UACGGAGGGUGCAAGCGUUAUCCGGAUUCACUGGGUUUAAAGGGUGCGUAGGUGGGCUAGUAAGUCAGUGGUGAAAUCUUCGAGCUUAACUCGGAAACUGCCGUUGAUACUAUUAGUCUUGAAUAUUCUGGAGGUGAGCGGAAUAUGUCAUGUAGCGGUGAAAUGCUUAGAUAUGACAUAGAACACCGAUUGCGAAGGCAGCUCACUACGGAAUCAUUGACACUGAGGCACGAAAGCGUGGGGAUCAAAC
rnacentral:rRNA from 1 species